UACGGAGGGUGCAAGCGUUGUCCGGAUUUAUUGGGUUUAAAGGGUGCGUAGGUGGCUUGUUAAGUCCGGGGUGAAAGCCCACUGCUCAACAGUGGAACUGCCCUGGAAACUGGAGAACUUGAGUACAGACGAGGGCGGCGGAAUGGAUGGUGUAGCGGUGAAAUGCAUAGAUACCAUCCAGAACCCCGAUUGCGAAGGCAGCUGCCUAGACUGUAACUGACGCUGAGGCACGAAAGCGUGGGGAGCGAACAGG
rnacentral:rRNA from 1 species